rnacentral:rRNA from 1 species
AUUGAACGCUGGCGGCAGGCCUAACACAUGCAAGUCGAGCGGAUGAAGGGAGCUUGCUCCUGGAUUCAGCGGCGGACGGGUGAGUAAUGCCUAGGAAUCUGCCUGGUAGUGGGGGAUAACGUCCGGAAACGGGCGCUAAUACCGCAUACGUCCUGAGGGAGAAAGUGGGGGAUCUUCGGACCUCACGCUAUCAGAUGAGCCUAGGUCGGAUUAGCUAGUUGGUGGGGUAAAGGCCUACCAAGGCGACGAUCCGUAACUGGUCUGAGAGGAUGAUCAGUCACACUGGAACUGAGACACGGUCCAGACUCCUACGGGAGGCAGCAGUGGGGAAUAUUGGACACUGGGCGAAAGCCUGAUCCAGCCAUGCCGCGUGUGUGAAGAAGGUCUUCGGGUUGUAAAGCACUUUAAGUUGGGAGGAAGGGCAGUAAGUUAAUACCUUGCUGUUUUGACGUUACCAACAGAAUAAGCACCGGCUAACUUCGU